rnacentral:rRNA from 1 species
AGUGAACGCUGGCGGUAGGCCUAACACAUGCAAGUCGAACGGCAGCACAGUAAGAGCUUGCUCUUACGGGUGGCGAGUGGCGGACGGGUGAGGAAUACAUCGGAAUCUACUUUUUCGUGGGGGAUAACGUAGGGAAACUUACGCUAAUACCGCAUACGACCUACGGGUGAAAGCAGGGGAUCUUCGGACCUUGCGCGAUUGAAUGAGCCGAUGUCGGAUUAGCUAGUUGGCGGGGUAAAGGCCCACCAAGGCGACGAUCCGUAGCUGGUCUGAGAGGAUGAUCAGCCACACUGGAACUUAGACACGGUCCAGACUCCUACGGGAGGCAGCAGUGGGGAAUAUUGGACAAUGGGCGCAAGCCUGAUCCAGCCAUACCGCGUGGGUGAAGAAGGCCUUCGGGUUGUAAAGCCCUUUUGUUGGGAAAGAAAAGCAGCAGGUUAAUACCCCGCUGCUCUGACGGUACCCAAAGAAUAAGCACCGGCUAACUUCGUG